rnacentral:rRNA from 1 species
GACGAACGCUGGCGGCGUGCCUAAUACAUGCAAGUCGAACGCAGUGGGGACGGGUGAGUAACACGUGGGUAACCUCCCAUCAGAGGGGAUAACACUUGGAAACAGGUGCUAAACCGAUACUGAUGGAUGGACCAGCGGUGCAUUAGCUAGUUGGUGAGGUAACGGCUCACCAAGGCCACGAUGCAUAGCCGACAUGGUAUUGGGAUUGGCCACACUGUGACUGAGACACUGCCCAGACGCCGACGGGAGGCAGCAUGAGGGAAUCUUCGGCAAUGGACGAAAGUCUGACCGAGCAACGCCUCGUGAGUGAAGAAGGUUUUCGGAUCGUAAAACUCUGUUGUUAGAGAAGCGUUAUCUAACCAGAAAGCCACGGCUAACUACGUGCCAGCCGCCGCGGUAAGAC